rnacentral:misc_RNA from 1 species
AGUUUCUGGUCCUAUUAUCAAAUCAUACCCACAUAAUAAUAGGAUAGGAUUGAACAUUGAAGCAUACAACGCCGCAACCAGAAAAUAGCUUUUCAAUAAUUUGCCUUUAAAUGUCUACAUGUGAGUUGUGACAAUCAGUUAAGACCACGAUAAAUUUGUUUGUUCAAGAUAUUACUCUUCCGAAAUAAGUAACUUUUCACGUUUCAACUAACUCUAAUAAUACAAUAUUUACUCAACAAUCUAGGAGCUAUAUAUCUGAAUAAUUUAUCAAGACAACUCACAGUAAGCCAACUGAACAAAAAUACAUUAGAUUUGGUUUACUAUCAGGCAUUGAUGACUCUUAGCAUUACCUAUCAAGGCCCAAAACUGAG